rnacentral:rRNA from 1 species
UAUAUUCUUCCCCAACAGUAGUAUUUGGAAAAACUUUUAGACCAAACUCUUGAAAGUAAAUUUCAGGUUAAAUGAAAAGAGGAAUCGAACCUCAU